CGGAGGGUGCGAGCGUUAUCCGGAAUUACUGGGUUUAAAGGGUGCGUAGGCGGCCAUGUAAGUCAGGAGUGAAAGUUUGCGGCUCAACCGUAAAAUUGCUUUUGAUACUGCAUGGCUGGAAUCAGGAUGAGGUCAGCGGAAUGUGGCAUGUAGCGGUGAAAUGCAUAGAUAUGCCAUAGAACACCAAUUGCGAAGGCAGCUGGCUAGACCUGUAUUGACGCUGAGGCACGAAAGCGUGGGGAGCGAACAGGAUUAGAUACCCUGGUAGUCCACGCCCUAAACGAUGCUUACUCGACGUAUGGCACUAGUUGUUGUGCGUCCAAGGGAAACCGUUAAGUAAGCCACCUGGGGAGUACGACCGCAAGGUUG
rnacentral:rRNA from 1 species